rnacentral:tRNA from 1 species
UGGGGGAUCGUCUAAUGGCAGGACGACGGUUUCUGGCACCGUCUAUCAAGGUUCGAAUCCUUGUCCCCCAGCCC